rnacentral:rRNA from 1 species
GACUCUCGACAACGGAUAUCUUGGCUCUUACAUCGAUGAAGAAUGUAGCGAAAUGUGAUACUUGGUGGGCACAUCUUCCUUGGCGUCAUGUUGUGCCCGAAGCUUUGAACGUAAGUUGCGCCCGAGGCCUUCUGGCUAAGAGCACAUCUUCCUUGGCGUCA